ensembl:rRNA 5S_rRNA 5S ribosomal RNA
GUCUAUGGCCAUACCACCCUGAAUGCACCCUAUCUUUUCUGAUCUUGGAAGAUAAGCAGGGUCAGGCCUGGUUACUACUUGGAUGGGAGAAAAACAUCUUUUUCAUUCUGUGGGAAGAUGAAUUACUAAACA